GACCCCGUGAACCUUUACUAUAGCUUGACACUGAACAUUGAGCCUUGAUGUGUAGGAUAGGUGGGAGGCUUUGAAGUGUGGACGCCAGUCUGCAUGGAGCCGACCUUGAAAUACCACCCUUUAAUGUUUGAUGUUCUAACGUGGACCCGUGAUCCGGGUUGCGGACAGUGUCUGGUAGGUAGUUUGACUGGGGCGGUCUCCUCCUAAAGAGUAACGGAGGAGCACGAAGGUUGGCUAAUCCUGGUCGGACAUCAGGAGGUUAGUGCAAUGGCAUAAGCCAGCUUGACUGCGAGCGUGACGGCGCGAGCAGGUGCGAAAGCAGGUCAUAGUGAUCCGGUGGUUCUGAAUGGAAG
rnacentral:rRNA from 1 species